CAGCCGCCACGGGAAUACGAAGGGUGCAAGCGUUAAUCGGAAUUACUGGGCGUAAAGCGUGCGUAGGCGGUGAGUUAAGUCUGCUGUGAAAUCCCCGGGCUCAACCUGGGAAUGGCAGUGGAUACUGGCUCGCUAGAGUGUGUCAGAGGAUGGUGGAAUUCCCGGUGUAGCAGUGAAAUGCGUAGAGAUCGGAAGGAACAUCUGUGGCGAAGGCGACUAUCUGGGCCAACACUGACACUGAGGCACGAAAGCGUGGGGAGCAAACAGGAUUAGAUACCCGAGUAGUCCCUGUCUCUUAUAC
rnacentral:rRNA from 1 species